UACGUAGGGUGCAGGCGUUAAUCGGAAUUACCGGGCGUAAAGCGUGCGCAGGCGGUUUGCUAAGACAGGUGUGAAAUCCCCGGGCUUAACCUGGGAACUGCGCUUGUAACUGGCAAGCUGGAGUGUGGCAGAGGGGGGUGGAAUUCCACGUGUAGCAGUGAAAUGCGUAGAGAUGUGGAGGAACACCGAUGGCGAAGGCAGCCCCCUGGGCUAACACUGACGCUCAUGCACGAAAGCGUGGGGAGCAAACAGG
rnacentral:rRNA from 1 species